AUAAAGUUUGAUUCUUGCUUUAAUCUCUGUUAUAGGGACAAUUUCACAUGUAAGGAAGUCCGAAAUAAUUUUUAAGUAAAACUUAAUUUCUAGGGUCUCAGUGUGUGGUACUGGAUAUAAAUUAAAUUUUGAGCCGGUGAUUCUUGUGUUUCAGGCUAAAUUUGUGCCAGCAGCCGCGGUUAGACUGAAAGAAAAAAUGGAGAUAAGAAGUGUGUGAUUAUAAAAAAAAAUUAUAAAUUUUAUUGUUAUGAAAUUAAGGAGUGAAAUCUAUAUUUUGAGGGUGGCGGUUUAAGGCAUAAAUUAAUUUUAAAUUUACUAAAUUUUAGGUGUAAACCAGGAUUAGAUACCCUGCUAUACUAAAUAGAAAUGAAAUUUUGCUAGAGUAGUAAUAAGUUAUGAGCUCGAAACUUAAAGAAUUUGGCGGUAUUUAAGUCUAGUUAGAGGAACCUGCUCUGUAAACGAUAUGCCACGAAUAAUCUUACUUUGUUUUGUUUUCAGUUUGUAUACCUCCAUUAUAAGUUAUAUUUUGAAAAAUUUUCUAAGAUAGAGUUUAUCUAAUAUAUUAGGUCAAGGUGCAGCUAAUAAUAAAGUAGUUGUGGGUUACAGUGCAUUAUAUGUCUGCGGAUAAAAAUUAGAAGUUAUUUUUUGAAGUUGGAUUUAAUUGUAUUUUUAGAAUAAUAAGCUAAAAUGAUAAUAGCUCUAAAAUAUGUACACAUCGCCCGUCGCUCUCAUUAUAAAGUGAGAUAAGUCGUAACAUAGUGGUUGUAUUGGAAAAUGUAACUAGAAAUAU
rnacentral:ncRNA from 1 species